AGUGACCACAUCCAAACAAUCUACCUUCUUAAGCCACCAGCUCUCAAAACAACAUAGCCUUAGCAGCCUAAAAUUGACCUCGCCCUCUCCAAGCAAAUAAGAAUAUGAUCUAAAACAAAACUUGAGAGAGCUCUUUGAAUAAAGGAUGGAAAUAAAUCAUUCUAAAUCAUCCCAUUCCAAAGAUGGCAGAAACCUAUCAAGCCAUGCCAUUGAAGCGUGGUUUUGCUUGUUAUUCCAAGUGUAGCUUCUCUCUUUCAACUCCAAGUCAACAAUAUUAUAGAGAUGAAAUGAAGUCCAUGAAGUCAAUACAAUCCUUCCAACUUUGAGGGUUUCCUUUUCUAUCAAAAUCAGACUUAGUGAUGUUGAAGUCACCACCUAGAAGUCAAGGUCCAGGGAGAUUAGAGCGCAUGCUAGCAAUUUCAUUGAAGAAAUAUCCUCUAUGAGCUCGAUCAUUUAGACUAUACACAAAUGUUAGAGAGAUACUUUGUUCAAUGAGUCACAGUAAAGUGAAAUAGACAAGAAGAACUCUUUUUUAAUAAAAGAUUUGAGAUCAAAUAAAUGAGAAUUUCAUUCUAUUAAAACCCUCCAACUGAGCCCAAAGCAUCUAGGUGGGCCCAACAAUCAAGCUUAUUGCCACCCAAGGAAGCCAAAAAGCCAUGGGAAGGAUUGGCCAGUUUGGAUUUUUGAAUAAGAAUGAUGUCACAAGAAAAAGAAAAGAUGAGAUCUUUGAUUGGUCUUCACUUGAUCACAUCCCCCAAGUCUCUAACAUUCCACAAGAUAAUGAUCAUAGCAACAAAACAACUCAUAACAGGCUAUAAGGCAAAAGUAAAACUGAUACCAUUCAAUGAAGAAACAAAGAAACAUCCAAAUUCCAUUUGACAACCAGUGCUUGGCAACCAUGUGCAAACAACAAACAAAAACAUGAGCACCAAACUAUCUAUAGAACCAAUCAAAAUACAAAGCAAAAAUAUGACCCCAAUCAACCAUAAGAGUGUAAGAACAUACACAAAAAUAAAGCAAGCUACAUCUAAAAUUCAAUAACAGAAGGGGUUAUGGCUGAACUGAAGAUAUCGCAAUUGCUUUCCCUUUCUCUAACUCUUAAAGAGUAUCAAUGAUAUCCUUAGCAAUUUUCUCAAAGAAUGUGAAUUCACAUACCCUACCCCAAUCUACGAGCAAAUGUUGAGGAAGAGGAGAGAGCAGGAAGUAAGGAUCCAAGUUAGCAUCAUCUACCUUAGAGUCCCUCUUUUUCCUUCUCACAAGGAUUGGCUUAGCAAUAGCUUCCUUCAUGGUGUUAACAGCUUUUGAUCUUGAAGAUUUUUGCAGCACAAUAGAAGGAGGGAAGGAAGACUCAGUCACAAGAGCAAGAGUUCUAAAGUAACUUCAAAAUGAGCCAUGUGCAUGGAGUCCGAUAAGUUGGCAGC
rnacentral:lncRNA from 1 species